CUUGGCGAAGGCUAAAGGGACAGGAAAUCUGGCUGAAGACCGUUGGAUUUCACAGGAAAGCCUGGGGGCUACAGGCUCAGGACCAAGGCAAAGCAGAAUUAACAUGAGCUACAGGAUCCAUCGGCCAAAUCUGACUAUGGAGAUGUCACGGAAAUGAGACACAAAAGUGAAAUUGUUGGAGAAGAGAAAAUAAAAAGAGCUGAACCCCGCCGCAACUCCAAACACCCGGCCCUGCCACCAGGGGCUCGGGAAGCUGCCACACCGUCUUCUGUGGAAAAGAAACU